rnacentral:rRNA from 1 species
AUUGAACGCUGGCGGAAUGCCUUACACAUGCAAGUCGAACGGCAGCACGGGGCAACCUGGUGGCGAGUGGCGAACGGGUGAGUAAUACAUCGGAACGUGCCCAAUCGUGGGGGAUAACGUAGCGAAAGUUACGCUAAUACCGCAUACGAUCUACGGAUGAAAGCGGGGGAUCGCAAGCCCUCGCGCGAAUGGAGCGGCCGAUGUCAGAUGAGGUAGUUGGUGGGGUAAAGGCUCACCAAGCCAACGAUCUGUAGCUGGGCUGAGAGGACGACCAGCCACACGGGGACUGAGACACGGCCCAGACUCCUACGGGAGGCAGUAGUGGGGAAUUUUGGACAAUGGGCGCAAGCCUGAUCCAGCCAUUCCGCGUGCAGGAUGAAGGCCUUCGGGUUGUAAACUGCUUUUGUACGGAACGAAACGGCUCUCUCUAAUACAGGGGGCUAAUGACGGUACCGUAAGAAUAAGCACCGGCUAACUACGUGCCAGCCGCCGCGGUAAUAC